rnacentral:tRNA from 1 species
GCGGCUGUAGCUCAGUGGAUAGAGUAUUGGCCUCCGAAGCCUAUGGUCACGGGCCCGGCAUGCAACAAUUCGACUAUUGGUCUCCUUACAGCAUGCGGCUGUA